AAUAAGUGCAGUUUUAACACUGUUCAUGCUCAACGUUUGACCGUCCGUCUUAUUUGAAAAACAAUUAUGAUUAGUAUUUUUAUUAUUAUUAGAUGAUAAUACAUGAAUAGUACUUUAUGUGUGACUAAUAUUUUUAAACUUUUUCAUAAAUUUUUCAAAUAAGACGGACGGUCAAAACGCUGGACACGAAUAUUUAUGGCUGCACUUAUU
rfam:Oryza meridionalis cultivar OR44 (W2112) chromosome 2, whole genome shotgun sequence.